CAGUUCGGAUUGAAGGCUGAAAUUCGCCUUCAUGAAGCCGGAAUUGCUAGUAAUGGCAGGUCAGCAUACUGCCGUGAAUACGUUCCCGGGCCUUGUACACACCGCCCGUCACACCACGAGAGUUGGGGAUACCCGAAGCCUGUGAGCUAACUUUUAGAGGCAGCAGUCGAAGGUAGAAUCAAUGAUUGGGGUGAAGUCGUAACAAGGUACC
rnacentral:rRNA from 1 species